rnacentral:rRNA from 1 species
CGGAGGCAGCAGUGGGGAAUGUUGGGCAAUGGGCGCAAGCCUGACCCAGCCAUGCCGCGUGAAGGAUGAAUGCCCUAUGGGUUGUAAACUUCUUUUGUACGGGACGAAACUCCUGGUCGUGACCGGGAUUGACUGUACCGUGCGAAUAAGCAUCGGCUAACUCCGUGCCAGCAGCCGCGGUAAUACGGAGGAUGCAAGCGUUAUCCGGAUUCAUUGGGUUUAAAGGGUGCGUAGGCGGAAUAAUAAGUCAGUGGUGAAAGCCUGCGGCUUAACCGUAGAAUUGCCAUUGAUACUGUUAUUCUUGAGUAUAGUUGAAGUGGGCGGAAUGUGUAAUGUAGCGGUGAAAUGCUUAGAUAUUACACAGAACACCAAUUGCGAAGGCAGCUCACUAAGCUGUUACUGACGCUGAGGCACGAAAGCGUGGGGAGCAAACAGGAUUAGAUACCCGUGUA